UGGGGAAUAUUGCACAAUGGGGGAAACCCUGAUGCAGCGACGCCGCGUGGAGGAAGAAGGUCUUCGGAUUGUAAACUCCUGUUGUUGAGGAAGAUAAUGACGGUACUCAACAAGGAAGUGACGGCUAACUACGUGCCAGCAGCCGCGGUAAAACGUAGGUCACAAGCGUUGUCCGGAAUUACUGGGUGUAAAGGGAGCGCAGGCGGGAAGACAAGUUGGAAGUGAAAUCUAUGGGCUCAACCCAUAAACUGCUUUCAAAACUGUUUUUCUUGAGUAGUGCAGAGGUAGAUGGAAUUCCCGGUGUAGCGGUGGAAUGCGUAGAUAUCGGGAGGAACACCAGUGGCGAAGGCGGUCUACUGGGCACCAACUGACGCUGAGGCUCGAAAGCAUGGGUAGCAAACAGGAUUAGAUACCCUGGUAGUCCAUGCCGUAAACGAUGAUUACUAGGUGUUGGGGGAUUGACCCCCUCAGUGCCGCAGUUAACACAAUAAGUAAUCCACCUGGGGAGUACGACCGCAAGGUUGAAACUCAAAGGAAUUGACGGGGGCCCGCACAAGCAGUGGAGUAUGUGGUUUAAUUCGAAGCAACGCGAAGAACCUUACCAGGUCUUGACAUCCGAUGCAUAACACAGGGAUGUGUGAAAUCCUUCGGGACAUCGAGACAGGUGGUGCAUGGUUGUCGUCAGCUCGUGUCGUGAGAUGUUGGGUUAAGUCCCGCAACGAGCGCAACCCUUAUUGCCAGUUACUACGUUAAGAGGACUCUGGCGAGACUGCCGUUGACAAAACGGAGGAAGGUGGGGAUGACGUCAAAUCAUCAUGCCCUUUAUGACCUGGGCUACACACGUACUACAAUGGCGUUAAACAAAGAGAAGCAAGACCGCGAGGUGGAGCAAAACUCAAAAACAACGUCUCAGUUCAGAUUGCAGGCUGCAACUCGCCUGCAUGAAGUCGGAAUUGCUAGUAAUCGCGGAUCAGCAUGCCGCGGUGAAUACGUUCCC
rnacentral:rRNA from 1 species